UUAAGCCGUAAAGGUGCUUGAACAAGCAGCAAGUAAGCAGGUCUUUCUAGUCAGAGUCCAGCUCGGUACUUUUUGAUAUGAAGCUGAAGCUCUGUGAUAACAGAGAAGCUUAUUUCGGCCAGGGAACAAAGCUGACUGUUCUGGAUGCUGAAGUCCAGCCCCCGACUGUGAAAAUUCUAGAACCUUCAAAAAAAGAAUGCAAAGACAAGAAAGGGAAGAAGAAGAAGACCCUGGUCUGUGUGGCCUCUGAUUUCUACCCCGAUCAUGUCAGCGUGUCCUGGACGCGCAAUGGCCAGAACAUAACUGAUGAUAUCCAAGUGUCCACUGACGCCGCCGCCACCGCCAAGAAGGAUGGAAAAAAUUACAAAAUCACCAGCAGGCUGAUGGUACCCAUUAAGGAUUGGGUUGAGCCAAACAUUAAUUUUACGUGCACUGUCAGCUUCUUUAAUGGGAAAAGUAACAUCAAAAAGAAUACAACUUAUACAACAAAAGGCAUAGAUUACCCAGUCAUCACUCGAGAGAGCUACAUAAAGAUCACCCAGAACGCCAAAAUUUCCUACACCGUCCUGAUCCUGAAGAGCUGCCUCUACGCCGCCUUGGUCUGCUUUCUGGUCUGGAAGCUUCAGAGAAAACGUGGAAAACAGACCAAGUGAGAGCGGAGCUGAAGCUUUCAAUCUUCCUCCUUGUACAUAAUAAACCUGAUCUGCUGUUAUUCUGCACAGACGAGAUAAUCUUUGGAUAUUUCAUGUUAUUUUACAGAAAUGAUAAAACUCAAAAUCUCACCAAGUGGUUUUGGUCUAGUAUCUAGUGAAAAUAUCUUGAAGAAAGACAAAAGUAACUUACAAGUGACUUUUCAGCAACAUAUUAGUUUGUUUUAAAUCAAUAAACCUUUACCGAGGAUAAACUAGUUCCAUUAACAGAUUAAUUUAUAACGAGACAUUUUCUCCAUGUAAAAAUAAUCUGCCAAUGGAACUAGAACUUCACCAAUAUUAAGACUUAGAAAAAGCUUCUAUAUAUUGCUGAAAAGUCACUUUUAAAUUAGUUUAGUUUUAUUUCAAGUUUUUUUUGGGGGGGGGCGGUUUAGAUAAUUGCACUAGAUACUAGACCUAAAAUUAUGAUUUUGUAUUUUUGCAGUGUAUUAUUGUAUUUUUCCAGAUACUUUCUAAAUAAG